CUUUUCUUUUUUUUUUUUCUUUUUCCUCUUUUUUUUUUUUUUUUUUUUGUAAAUCAAGGGGAAAGCAGCCAAACUAAAAAUGAGUUAUUCAUAAACAAAUAGGAGGGUCAGAAGUUCAAGGUCAUCCUCAGCUACACAGCUGGAGGCAGCUGGACGAUGCGAGACAUCGGAAAGGGCAAUGGGAGAGGCAGACAAGAGUGGUAACUUAUGUUAAAUCAUUGGCGAGGGUGUUGAAGACCGCACUUCCAGAACUGAGAUAUGCACCCGGGGAGGCUUGUCCAGGCGGUGUCUACACUGAAGCUUGGAGGACGACCUAGCACCAACCUGCCAGCACCGACUUCCUGGAGUGUGAUAGAAGAAAGUGACCCCAUCUGCCCUGAUUCUGAGUGAACUUCAGAAAGGACCAGCUGCUUCGUGGCCUGAGAAACUACAGUGACAAACUACAAUGAACUCCAGGGGCCAAAUAACGAGGAAUGUUCAUUGUCUAUCCGACAUAAUUUUGUACAGUUUUUAUGUUCUGCAAUGGGUUUUCCCGCUCACACUGACCCUUCCUAGCUGCUGCUGGUGUUCCGGGGUGGCACCGAGCAGAGGAAAAACAGGAAAGGCUUUGGAGCCGGAGGGCCCUGAGUGCAAGGUGCCUGCCUGCCACAUGACUCUGGGACUAGUCCCUCUCUCAGCCUAGCAAGACAACAUUGCCUCUCAGGUCACCACGAGGAUUCUGGGACAUCUCUGGAAAGACGAUAGCACACAGUGUUUGAGGACUGUUCUCACCUGCUCCAGCCACUCACCCUUGUUCCUUCCUAGUCUUAUGGGAAACCAGAGGAGGGACAUUUGCCCUUCUAAGGACAUUGGUGUGUAGAACUUACUAAAUAUGUAUGAAAUGCACUUGUAAUUUAUUCCUCCACUAUUUCCAUAAAAAUAUAUUAUCU
rnacentral:lncRNA from 1 species